GACGGAGGGUGCAAGCGUUGCUCGGAAUCACUGGGCGUAAAGGGUGCGUAGGCGGUCUCGCAAGUCUGGCGUGAAAGCCCAAGGCUCAGCCUUGGAAGUGCGCUCGAAACGGCGAGGCUGGAGUGCCGGAGGGGAGAGUGGAAUUCCCGGUGUAGCGGUGAAAUGCGUAGAUAUCUGGAGGAACACCGGUGGCGAAGGCGGCAUCCUGGACCGGUAUUGACGCUGAUGCGCGAAAGCCAGGGGAGCAAACGGG
rnacentral:rRNA from 1 species